ACGAUGCGUAGCCGACCUGAGAGGGUGAUCGGCCACAUUGGAACUGAGACACGGUCCAGACUCCUACGGGAGGCAGCAGUGGGGAAUAUUGCGCAAUGGGGGAAACCCUGACGCAGCAACGCCGCGUGGGUGAUGAAGGUCUUCGGAUUGUAAAGCCCUGUUUUCUAGGACGAUAAUGACGGUACUAGAGGAGGAAGCCACGGCUAACUACGUGCCAGCAGCCGCGGUAAUACGUAGGUGGCGAGCGUUGUCCGGAUUUACUGGGCGUAAAGGGUGCGUAGGCGGAUGUUUAAGUGGGAUGUGAAAUCCCCGGGCUUAACCUGGGGGCUGCAUUCCAAACUGGAUAUCUAGAGUGCAGGAGAGGAAAGCGGAAUUCCUAGUGUAGCGGUGAAAUGCGUAGAGAUUAGGAAGAACACCAGUGGCGAAGGCGGCUUUCUGGACUGUAACUGACGCUGAGGCACGAAAGCGUGGGUAGCAAACAGGAUUAGAUACCCUGGUAGUCCACGCCGUAAACGAUGGAUACUAGGUGUAGGGGGUAUCAACUCCCCCUGUGCCGCAGUUAACACAAUAAGUAUCCCGCCUGGGGAGUACGGUCGCAAGAUUAAAACUCAAAGGAAUUGACGGGGGCCCGCACAAGCAGCGGAGCAUGUGGUUUAAUUCGAAGCAACGCGAAGAACCUUACCUGGACUUGACAUCCCUUGCAUAGCCUAGAGAUAGGUGAAGCCCUUCGGGGCAAGGAGACAGGUGGUGCAUGGUUGUCGUCAGCUCGUGUCGUGAGAUGUUAGGUUAAGUCCUGCAACGAGCGCAACCCUUGUUAUUAGUUGCUACCAUUAAGUUGAGCACUCUAAUGAGACUGCCUGGGUAACCAGGAGGAAGGUGGGGAUGACGUCAAAUCAUCAUGCCCCUUAUGUCCAGGGCUACACACGUGCU
rnacentral:rRNA from 1 species